rnacentral:rRNA from 1 species
AGUGAACGCUGGCGGCGUGCCUAAUACAUGCAAGUCGAACGGCGUGGCGCACGGGGGAGUAAUAUAUAGCUAAUAUGCCCCUUGCUGGAGGACAACAGUUUGAAAAGACUGCUAAUACUCCAUAGCAAGGGAUGAGACUAUAUCGUCUCAGCUAGUCGGUGGGGUAACGGCCUACCGAGGUUAUGACGCGUAACUGGGCUGAGAGGAUGAUCCGUCACAUUGGAACUGAGACACGGUCCAAACUCCUACGGGAGGCAGCAGUAGGGAAUAGUGCGCAAUGGGGGAAACCCUGACGCAGCAACGCCUCGUGGAGGAUGACCCUUUGCGGAGCGUAAACUCCUGUUGUUAGGGAAGCGGUACCUAACGAAUAAGCACCGGCUAACUCCGUGCCAGCAGCCGCGGUAAUAC